rnacentral:rRNA from 1 species
UACGGGGGGAGCAAGCGUUGUUCGGAUUUACCGGGCGUAAAGAGCGCGCAGGCGGUCGUUCAAGUCGAGUGUGAAAGCCCCCGGCUCAACUGGGGAGGGUCAUUCGAUACUGAUCGACUCGAAGGCAGGAGAGGGUAGUGGAAUUCCCGGUGUAGUGGUGAAAUGCGUAGAUAUCGGGAGGAACACCAGUGGCGAAGGCGACUACCUGGCCUGUUCUUGACGCUGAGGCGCGAAAGCUAGGGGAGCAAACGGG